AUGCCAAAAAAAGCUAAUAAUACGACAUCGUUUAGAAUCUUUCCAUGGUCAAGCAAAGCCAUCUCAAUUCUCACCCACUUGCCUUUGUAGAAAGCUCCUCUGUCGUGGGCUCAGCAGCAAAAGCUGAAUUAACUAGAUCAUCUUUCUCAGAGACAAAUUAGAUUUUCUUGUUGGGAAACGCUGAACUAACUCAUCUUCCUCGGAGGCAAAAUUAGUUCCUAAAGAUCAAAGCUUGUUCAGAUUCUGUCUCAAUCAAGAGAUAUCUUGCUGCUAUUCAUUUGAGGCAGACUUUUUUCUUUAAGUUUGGAUAUGAAAGAUAUUUGGUUUGUGAUUGUUAGGUUUCAAUAUUGGACUAAACAUAGAGAUUUUGCAUAUUGGAGUACUCCUUCCUAUUAUUAACAUUUCAAUUCCAAUGACAUAUCUACAAAACUGAUUGACAAAGCUCAAUUUUUGAGUGAGAGAAUGGAUUCGGUCAGUAAUGGGAAUCAAAAAGGAGAAACUGAGGAAUCAAAUGGUGCUAAACUCCAGGGUCAUAUCCCUCUCAACAUUUCAGCAUCUAGAAGGACCCUCUUGGGCAAUGAAAAUUUGCAAAGGAAUCUCCAAGACAGCUCAACUGCCCAUCCCAAUAAAAUAAAAUUUCUUAAAUUUGGCUCUGCAUCUGCCAAAUUCAAGCGGUUGGCUCAGGAUAGAGAUGAGAUGUCACGCUCAGUGGCUUCUUCAAGUAGCCAUGGUCUUCGCGAACGCAUGAAGGAGAUUGAUUGGGCUUUUCUGAUGAAAACAAGCAAAGAAUGGAUCCGGGAUCCAAUGAACAUGGCCCUCUUUGUUUGGAUCGUGUGUGUUGCUAUUUCAGGUGCAAUUCUGUUCCUAGUCAUGACUGGAAUGUUAAAUGGUGUGUUGCCAAAGAAGUCACAGAGAAAUGCGUGGUUUGAAGUAAAUAAUCAAAUACUCAAUGCAUUGUUCACUCUAAUGUGCCUUUACCAGCAUCCAAAACGGUUCUACCACCUUGUACUUCUCUGUAGAUGGAAACCGGAGGACAUUUCUAGACUCAGAAAGAUUUACUGCAAAAAUGGGAUCUACAAGCCCCAUGAGUGGGCACACAUGAUGGUUGUUGUUAUUCUACUCCAUGUGAAUUGUUUUGCUCAAUAUGCACUGUGUGGUCUAAAUUUGGGGUACAAGAGAUCUGAGCGACCUGCCAUAGGAGUUGGAAUAUGUAUAUCUUUUGCAAUAGCUGCACCUGCAAUUGCUGGGGUAUACACCAUUAUUAGUCCCCUUGGGAGGGAUUAUUCUGAAUUUGAUGAGGAAGCACAGCAUCAAAUUACUGCUGGUGAGGGUAAGAGGCCAGAGCAGUUAAGAAGAAAAUCAUUAGAAAAGAGAUAUUCCUUUGCAACAAGAGAUGAAGGAAGUGUUGAGACUAGACCACAAUGGAGUGGAGGGAUCCUUGAUUUUUGGGAUGACAUCUCUCUGGCAUAUCUAUCGCUCUUCUGUAGUUUUUGUGUCUUUGGAUGGAAUAUGGAGAGGCUUGGAUUUGGAAACAUGUAUGUUCAUAUUGCAACCUUUCUCCUCUUUUGUAUGGCUCCUUUCUGGAUUUUCAACUUGGCUGCCAUUAAUAUUGAUAAUGAGACUGUCAGGGAAGCUUUAGGAGUUACUGGUAUUAUUCUUUGUGCAUUUGGUUUGCUAUAUGGUGGCUUCUGGAGGAUUCAAAUGAGAAAAAGAUUUAAUUUGCCAACUUAUACCUUCUGUUUUGGUGAACCAGCAGUUUCUGAUUGCACGUUGUGGCUAUGUUGUUGUUGGUGCUCCCUAGCACAGGAAGUUCGAACUACGAAUUCUUAUGACAUUGUGGAAGAUAAGUUUUACAGGAAACACGUGGACAGUAGUAACUAUCUGCAGCCUUCACCUCGUGAAGAUGUUUCAGGCCCAAGUUCUCCAUUAGGCAACAACCGUAGCCCAUCCAAGACUUUGAUAGCUAAUUCUCCAAGUCCUAGCAGAGUUUCAAAUGAGUACAGGCAGCUUUUUACUGUAAAAGAAGAGUCUUCUGCAGGAGGCAAGGAUGAGACUAUGACUCCGCCAUCUCCAACAUUGAUAGAAAGAGAAGCCACUUAGCUGGAACGCAAUUUAGAUAGCAUUCUUAUAUACUGUUCUGGAGAUGCACUAUGAUAAGAAAUAGUAAUCCCUUGCCUGAUUUAGUAUGGAUAGAUCAUUUUCUGAAAUAGGUCGCUAUCACAGCCAACAUUUCAAGCUUCUAUUAUUGUGCGCAUUAUGGAGCAGGCUAAGCAACAAUAAGGCCUUGUCAUCCCAUCAGGAACGAUUUAAUGGAAAAGUGGUUUGAUUGGUCCACAAAUUGACAACAUUUACCACUCAUCGAGCACUCAGAAAGAUUAAAGUUUAUGAUGAUGAGGUAUGCAAAGAAUGGUAAUGAAAGCCAUUUCAGGAAAAGACAAAUGGAAGAUCUCAUGGCUCCACGCAUGCUUGAAAGGUCAUUAACACAUAGUUUUCUCAGGUAGGCAAGUUAUUGGCAAAGUUAGGAAGCAGUAGCCAUGUUUCUAUACGCCAAAAUAGCACGUUAGAAUUGGUCAUUGAUAGGCAGUGCUUAUUAUCUGUUAUCAUGUGAGGAAGCUAGAGGUUUUAUUAAGCGCUCCUAUAGCACAUGCUCCCUCUCACACAGUGAAAUGUGAUCCACGUCCCAUAAUUAUUGGGAAUGACUGAAAAUUUAUAAGUAUAUUCUCUUUCACAGUGAAA